GAUGAACGCUGGCGGCGUGCCUAAUACAUGCAAGUCGAACGAGUCUUCGGACUAGUGGCGAACGGGUGAGUAACACGUUGGUACCUGCCCCGAAGUGGGGAAUAACUGGCCGAAAGGUCAGCUAAUACCGCAUAAUACCGCAAGGUUAAAGUAGCAAUACGCUUCGGGAGGGGCCUGCGUCUGAUUAGCUAGUUGGUGGGGUAACUGCCCACCAAGGCGACGAUCAGUAGCUGGAUCGAGAGGUUGACCAGCCACACUGGGACUGAGAUACGGCCCAGACUCCUACGGGAGGCAGCAGUAAGGAAUCUUCCACAAUGGACGAAAGUCUGAUGGAGCAACGCCGCGUGCAGGAUGACGGUCUUCGGAUUGUAAACUGCUUUUAUAUGGGAAGAUUAUGACGGUACCAUAUGAAUAAGGACCGGCUAACUACGUGCCAGCCGCCGCCGUAA
rnacentral:rRNA from 1 species